rnacentral:rRNA from 1 species
CUACGGGGGGCUCCAGUGAGGAAUAUUGCACAAUGGGGGGAACCCUGAUGGAGCAACGCCGCGUGGAGGAUGACGCAUUUCGGUGUGUAAACUCCUUUUAUAUGUCAAGAAAAUGACGGUAGCAUAUGAAUAAGCACCGGCUAACUCCGUGCCAGCAGCCGCGGUAAUACGGAGGGUGCAAGCGUGACUCGGAAUCACUGGGCGUAAAGGACGCGUAGGCGGGUUGGAAAGUCAGGUGUGAAAUCCUACAGCUUAACUGUAGAGCUGCACUUGAAACUUCUAAUCUAGAGUAUGGGAGGGGGAGAUGGAAUUAGUGGUGUAGGGGUAAAAUCCGUAGAUAUCACUAGGAAUACCUAAAGCGAAGGCGAUCUCCUGGAACAUUACUGACGCUAAGGCGUGAAAGCGUGGGGAGCAAACAGGAUUAGAUACCCCUGUAGUC